UUAAGUUAAUAAGGGCGCACGGUGGAUGCCUUGGCACUAGGAGCCGACGAAGGACGUGACAAACGACGAUAUGCCUUGGGUAGCUGUAAGUAAGCGAUGAUCCAGGGAUUUCCGAAUGGGGGAACCCAACAGGUAAUACCUGUUACCCACUUCUGUUAAGGAUGUGAGGAGGAAGACGCAGUGAACUGAAACAUCUAAGUAGCUGCAGGAAGAGAAAGCAAAAGCGAUUGCCUUAGUAGCGGCGAGCGAAACGGCAGGAGGGCAAACCGAAGAGUUUACUCUUCGGGGUUGUAGGACUGCAAUGUGGACUCAAAGAUUAUAGAAGAAUGAUUUGGGAAGAUCAGCCAAAGAGAGUAAUAGCCUCGUAUUUAAAAUAGUCUUUGUACUUAGCAGUAUCCUGAGUACGGCGGGACACGUGAAAUCCCGUCGGAAUCUGGGAGGACCAUCUCCCAACCCUAAAUACUCCCUAGUGACCGAUAGUGAACCAGUACCGUGAGGGAAAGGUGAAAAGCACCCCGGGAGGGGAGUGAAAUAGAACCUGAAACCGUGUGCCUACAACAAGUUCGAGCCCGUUAAUGGGUGAGAGCGUGCCUUUUGUAGAAUGAACCGGCGAGUUACGUUAUGAUGCGAGGUUAAGUUGAAGAGACGGAGCCGUAGGGAAACCGAGUCUGAAUAGGGCGCCUUAGUAUCAUGACGUAGACCCGAAACCAUGUGACCUACCCAUGAGCAGGUUGAAGGUGCGGUAAGACGCACUGGAGGACCGAACCAGGGCACGUUGAAAAGUGCUUGGAUGACUUGUGGGUAGCGGAGAAAUUCCAAACGAACUUGGAGAUAGCUGGUUCUCUCCGAAAUAGCUUUAGGGCUAGCGUCGACAUUAGAGAUUCUUGGAGGUAGAGCACUGUUUGGGUGAGGGGUCCAUCCCGGAUUACCAAUCUCAGAUAAACUCCGAAUGCCAAUGAAUUAUGGUCGGCAGUCAGACUGCGAGUGCUAAGAUCCGUAGUCGAAAGGGAAACAGCCCAGACCACCAGCUAAGGUCCCAAAAUAAUUGUUAAGUGGAAAAGGAUGUGGGGUUGCACAGACAACUAGGAUGUUAGCUUAGAAGCAGCUAUUCAUUCAAAGAGUGCGUAAUAGCUCACUAGUCGAGUGACCCUGCGCCGAAAAUGUACCGGGGCUAAAACAAUUUACCGAAGCUGUGGAUACCUUUAUAGGUAUGGUAGGAGAGCGUUCUAUGUGUGAUGAAGGUAUACCGUGAGGAGUGCUGGAACGCAUAGAAGUGAGAAUGCCGGUAUGAGUAGCGAAAGACAGGUGAGAAUCCUGUCCACCGUAAGACUAAGGUUUCCAGGGGAAGGCUCGUCCGCCCUGGGUUAGUCGGGACCUAAGGAGAGACCGAAAGGUGUAUCCGAUGGACAACAGGUUGAUAUUCCUGUACUAGAGUAUGUAGUGAUGGAGGGACGCAGUAGGCUAACUAAAGCAGACGAUUGGAAGAGUCUGUCUAAGCAGUGAGGUGUGAAUUGAGUCAAAUGCUUAAUUCUAUAACAUUGAGCUGUGAUGGGGAGCGAAGUUUAGUAGCGAAGUUAGUGACGUCACACUGCCAAGAAAAGCUUCUAGCGUUUAACCAUACUCUACCCGUACCGCAAACCGACACAGGUAGUCGAGGCGAGUAGCCUCAGGUGAGCGAGAGAACUCUCGUUAAGGAACUCGGCAAAAUGACCCCGUAACUUCGGGAGAAGGGGUGCUGACUUUAAGUCAGCCGCAGUGAAUAGGCCCAAGCAACUGUUUAUCAAAAACACAGCUCUCUGCUAAAUCGUAAGAUGAUGUAUAGGGGGUGACGCCUGCCCGGUGCUGGAAGGUUAAGAGGAGUGCUUAGCGUAAGCGAAGGUAUGAAUUGAAGCCCCAGUAAACGGCGGCCGUAACUAUAACGGUCCUAAGGUAGCGAAAUUCCUUGUCGGGUAAGUUCCGACCCGCACGAAAGGCGUAAUGAUUUGGGCACUGUCUCAACGAGAGACUCGGUGAAAUUUUAGUACCUGUGAAGAUGCAGGUUACCCGCGACAGGACGGAAAGACCCCAUGGAGCUUUACUGCAGUUUGAUAUUGAGUGUCUGUACCACAUGUACAGGAUAGGUAGGAGUCUAAGAGAUCGGGACGCCAGUUUCGAAGGAGACGCUGUUGGGAUACUACCCUUGUGUUAUGGCCACUCUAACCCAGAUAGGUGAUCCCUAUCGGAGACAGUGUCUGACGGGCAGUUUGACUGGGGCGGUCGCCUCCUAAAAGGUAACGGAGGCGCCCAAAGGUUCCCUCAGAAUGGUUGGAAAUCAUUCGCAGAGUGUAAAGGUAUAAGGGAGCUUGACUGCGAGAGCUACAACUCGAGCAGGGACGAAAGUCGGGCUUAGUGAUCCGGUGGUUCCGUAUGGAAGGGCCAUCGCUCAACGGAUAAAAGCUACCCUGGGGAUAACAGGCUUAUCUCCCCCAAGAGUUCACAUCGACGGGGAGGUUUGGCACCUCGAUGUCGGCUCGUCGCAUCCUGGGGCUGUAGUCGGUCCCAAGGGUUGGGCUGUUCGCCCAUUAAAGCGGCACGCGAGCUGGGUUCAGAACGUCGUGAGACAGUUCGGUCCCUAUCCGUCGCGGGCGUAGGAAAUUUGAGAGGAUCUGCUCCUAGUACGAGAGGACCAGAGUGGACUUACCGCUGGUGUACCAGUUGUCUUGCCAAAGGCAUCGCUGGGUAGCUAUGUAGGGAAGGGAUAAACGCUGAAAGCAUCUAAGUGUGAAACCCACCUCAAGAUGAGAUUUCCCAUGAUUAUAUAUCAGUAAGAGCCCUGAGAGAUGAUCAGGUAGAUAGGUUAGAAGUGGAAGUGUGGCGACACAUGUAGCGGACUAAUACUAAUAGCUCGAGGACUUAUCCAA
rnacentral:rRNA from 1 species